rnacentral:rRNA from 1 species
CCUACGGGUGGCAGCAGUAAGGAAUAUUGGUCAAUGGGCGAGAGCCUGAACCAGCCAAGUCGCGUGAGGGAGUACUGCCCUAUGGGUUGUAAACCUCUUUUGUCGGGGAGAAAAAGCCGGACGUGUCCGGCUGUGAGAGUACCCGAAGAAAAAACAUCGGCUAACUCCGUGCCAGCAGCCGCGGUAAUACGGAGGAUGCGAGCGUUAUCCGGAUUUAUUGGGUUUAAAGGGUGCGCAGGCGGAUUUUUAAGUCAGCGAUAUAAUCGUGGGGGUCAACCCCAUACAGCCUGUGAAACUGGGGAUCUUGAGUGUGCGCGAGGUAUGCGGAAUGCGUGGUGGAGCGGUGAAAUGCAUAGAUAUCACGCAGAACCCCGAUUGCUAAGGCAGCAUACCGGUGCACAACUGACGCUCAGGCACGAAAGCGUGGGUAUCGAACAGGAUUAGAUACCCCUGUAGUC